UACGUAGGGUGCAGGCGUUAAUCGGAAUUACUGGGCGUAAAGCGUGCGUAGGUGGUGGUUUAAGUCUGCUGUGAAAGCCCUGGGCUCAACCUGGGAAUUGCAGUGGAUACUGGAUCACUAGAGUGUGGUAGAGGGAUGCGGAAUUUCUGGUGUAGCAGUGAAAUGCGUAGAGAUCAGAAGGAACAUCCGUGGCGAAGGCGGCAUCCUGGGCCAACACUGACACUGAGGCACGAAAGCGUGGGGAGCAAACAGG
rnacentral:rRNA from 1 species